rnacentral:ribozyme from 14 species
ACAUAGAAAAAAAAAAAGAGCUGUUUUAUUCAACAUUCUUCAAAAACUCAUUUGAUUAGAGUUCCCCUGAUGAUUUUUUAUUCUUACUUUUUUUUUUUUCUACUUUUUCUUUGU